CAGCAGUGGGGAAUAUUGCACAAUGGGCGAAAGCCUGAUGCAGCAACGCCGCGUGAGCGAAGAAGGUCUUCGGAUCGUAAAGCUCUGUCCUUGGGGAAGAUAAUGACGGUACCCUUGGAGGAAGCCCCGGCUAACUACGUGCCAGCAGCCGCGGUAAUACGUAGGGGGCAAGCGUUAUCCGGAAUUAUUGGGCGUAAAGAGUGCGUAGGUGGUUACCUAAGCAGGGGGUGAAAGGCAAUGGCUUAACCAUUGUUAGCCCCCUGAACUGGGCUACUUGAGUGCAGGAGAGGAAAGCGGAAUUCCUAGUGUAGCGGUGAAAUGCGUAGAUAUUAGGAGGAACACCAGUGGCGAAGGCGGCUUUCUGGACUGUUACUGACACUGAGGCACGAAAGUGUGGGGAGCAAACAGGAUUAGA
rnacentral:rRNA from 1 species